rnacentral:rRNA from 1 species
UACGUAGGGUGCAGGCGUUAAUCGGAAUUACUGGGCGUAAAGCGUGCGCAGGCGGCUCCUUAAGUCAGAUGUGAAAGCCCCGGGCUUAACCUGGGAACUGCGUUUGAAACUGGGGAGCUAGAGUGUGGAAGAGGGGGGUGGAAUUCCAGGUGUAGCAGUGAAAUGCGUAGAGAUCUGGAGGAACACCGAUGGCGAAGGCAGCCCCCUGGGCUAACACUGACGCUCAUGCACGAAAGCGUGGGGAGCAAACGGG